rnacentral:rRNA from 1 species
CCCGCUGAACUUAAGCAUAUCAAUAAGCGGAGGAAAAGAAACUAACAAGGAUUCCCCUAGUAACUGCGAGUGAAGCGGGAAGAGCUCAAAUUUAAAAUCUGGCGGUCUCGCGGCCGUCCGAGUUGUAAUCUGGAGAAGCGUUUUCCGCGUCGGACCGUGUACAAGUCUUCUGGAACGGAGCGUCGUAGAGGGUGAGAAUCCCGUCUCUGACACGGACAGCCGAUGCUUCGUGUGAUACGCUCUCGAAGAGUCGAGUUGUUUGGGAAUGCAGCUCAAAAUGGGUGGUAAAUUCCAUCUAAAGCUAAAUAUUGGCGAGAGACCGAUAGCGAACAAGUACCGUGAGGGAAAGAUGAAAAGCACUUUGGAAAGAGAGUUAAACAGUACGUGAAAUUGUUGAAAGGGAAACGUUUGAAGUCAGUCGCGUCGGCCGAGACUCAACCCCGCCUUUUGGCAGGGCGCAAUUCUCGGUCGACGGGUCAGCAUCAAUUUUGAUCGGUGGAUAAAGAUCAGGGGAAUGUGGCAUCUUCGGAUGUGUUAUAGCCUCUGGUCGCAUACAUCGGUUGGGAUUGAGGAACUCAGCACGCCGCAAGGCCGGGUUUUUACCACGUACGUGCUUAGGAUGCUGGCAUAAUGGCUUUAAUCGACCCGUCUUGAAACACGG